UACGGAGGUGGCAAGCGUUACUCGGAUUCACUGGGCGUAAAGGGCACGUAGGCGGUUCCAUAAGCCCUGCCUGAAAUGCUCUGGCUCAACCAGAGAUGGUGGCAGGGGACUGCGGAACUUGAGGGUCAGAGAGGCGAGCGGAAUUCCCGGUGUAAGGGUGAAAUCUGUAGAGAAUGGGAGGAACACCAGUGGCGAAAGCGGCACGCUGGCUGAUUUCUGACGCUGAGGUGCGAAAGCUAGGGGAGCAAACAGG
rnacentral:rRNA from 1 species